GUGAUAAUGCAUUAACAUUCUGGCUGGUGGUGGAGGCUGUGCUGUGCUUUAGAGAAAUAUAGCAGGGAAGAUGUGCUGCCUCUUUGGCAGAAAAGAGGGCAAGAUCAGCAUGAGAGAGCCUGCAGAUUGCUAUAAACUAAUCAUUGGGACUGUACACUGUGGUGGCUGACCUAGAAGUCAGAUCAUUCCCUUACGGAGUCUAAAUUUCAAACAUUGUCUGUCUGUGAGUAGGACUUACAUUGAAAGAGUGGUCAUCAGAGAGAACUAUGGACCACAGCCACAGAAGGAAGUUUUGCCAGCUUCCUUCACCACUGCCAUUCAGAGGUGCUGUUCUGGAGCCCUCGGUUGCCACUUGGAAGAGACUUUUUAUGAUCCCACUUUUGCUCUAAUCAUGGCUAUGUAGGCCCCAGGUCAAGUGGAGUGCUGGGCUGGUGACUGAUGGCCCUGUCAAGGUCCAUUAGAAGUAGUACUUAAGUACUUUCUUAGGUCAUUAGUAUUAGGCAACAAGAAUGGGGGAUUUUGGCUGGGGUUUAGUAAACAUGACUUUUCUUAAAGCUUUUGCAAUUUCCUUUUGUGUAUAUGAAGUGAGGAAAAAAGGCCACGGAAGAUAUUAAGCAUCUAUUCCUCAUUAAUGUCUUUGGG
rnacentral:lncRNA from 1 species